rnacentral:rRNA from 1 species
UACAUAGGGACCAAGCGUUGUUCGGAUUUACUGGGCGUAAAGGGCGCGUAGGCGGCGUGUUAAGUCACUUGUGAAAUCUCUGAGCUUAACUCAGAACGGUCAAGUGAUACUGAUGUGCUAGAGUGCAGAAGGGGCAACCGGAAUUCUUGGUGUAGCGGUGAAAUGCGUAGAUAUCAAGAGGAACACCUGAGGUGAAGACGGGUUGCUGGGCUGACACUGACGCUGAGGCGCGAAAGCUAGGGUAGCAAACGGG